GGGAGGAGCAGCCCAUUUCCAAGCUGGGAUGCAGUUCCAGGGCAGGCAGUAGAGGCCCAGGUGCAACCCCCAGCCCAGGAGGAGACUUGACUCGCCUGAGGUCAGCUGGAGCCAGGAACACCUUUGUGCAACAGCUGCCGUGGCCCAUCUGUGAGAGAUACGUGGACCCCCUGCCUCGAAACAGGCAGUGUUGUAAGCAUGGGGACAGAGCCGUACGUGAGCAGAUGGAACCCCCGAAGACCUGCAGCUGUCAUCCUGGGACUGUGUGCCCGGCACUGUGCUAAAUGCUCCCUGGGGCAUCUCGUGUAACCUUUGCAGGAACCCUAAAAACGACGAUCAGAUUAGCCUCCCCCUCUUGAAAAUGGAGACAAAAUUCAAAUAACAUAAACUUCACCACUUUAACCAUUUUAUUUUUUUUACAUAUUUUUUUUGAGACAGAGUCUCGCUCUGUUGCCAGGCUGGAGUGCAGUGGUGCGAUGUAGGCUCUCUGCAACCUGGGCCUCCCGGGUUCAAGCAAUUCUGUCUCGGCCUCCCGCGCAGCUGGGACUGCAGGCGCGUUCCACCACACCCAGACAAUUUUUGUAUUUUUAGUAGAGACAGGGUUUCCACAUGUUGGCCAGGCUGGUUUCGGUCUCUUGACCUCAUGAUCUGCCCGCCUUGGCCUCCCAAAGUGCUGGGAUUACAGGCAUGAGCCACUGCACCUGGCCCACUUUAACUAUUUUAAAGGGUACAAUUCAGUGGCGUUCAGUGCAGUCAUGAGGUUGUGCAGCCACCACCUGUAUCUCAUUUCAGAACAUGCCCAUCACUCCAAAAGGAAAACCCUAUCCCCACGAUCCAUGGUUCCCCAGCCCCCUGGCCCCCAGCCCUCAGCAGCCACUAAGCUGCCUUCUGUCUCUAUGGAUUGCCGGUUCUGGGUAUUUCAUGUCGAUGGGAUCAGUGUGUGGCCUUGUGUCUGGCUUCUGUCUCCAGGCAUAUGUUGUCAAGGGCUAUCAUUCCUUUUCUUGGCCAAAUAAUGCUCCAUGUUGUGGACACAUCGUAUUUUGUUUAUCCGUUCACCUGCUGAUGCAUGCCAGGUGGUUGUUUCCAACUUUUUAAUUCCCAUUAUAAAGAUAAGGAAACUGGCCAGGUGCGGUGGCUCAAGCCUGUAAUCCCAGCACUUUGGGAGGCCAAGGCGGGUGGAUCACCUGAGGUCGGGAGUUUGAGACCAGUCUGACCAACACAGCGAAACCCUGUCUCUACUAAAAAUACAAAAAAUCAGCUGGGCAUGGUGGUGUGAGCCUGUAAUCCCAGCUACUCAGAAGGCUGAGGCAUGAGAAUCACUUGAACCUGGGAGGCGAAGGUUGCAGUGAGCUGAGAUCGCGCCACUGCGCUUUAGCCUGGGAGACAGAGUGAGACUCUGUCUCUAAAUAAAUAAAUAAAUAAAUAAACAAAUAAAUAAAUGUAAACUGAGGCUAAACCGCUCCACUCAGGGUCAACACCUGCCCUGUGACCCAGCAGUUCCACUUUUCGGUAUUUAUCUAGGAGAAAUGAGAACACAUGUCCACACAAAGACCUGUGCACAAAUGUUCACAGCAUCUUUCUCAAUAAUAACUUUGAGCUGGCAACGAUCCAAAUAUCCAUCCACAGGAGCUGGGUAAACAAAGCAUGGUGUCAUCCUGGAGUGGGACGCUCCUCAUCAGGAAAGAGGAAAGAAUGACCCAUGCACGCAGCAGCUUGGAAGAGUCUCAAAAACAAGAUGCCAAUGAAGGAAGCCAGGCACGGGACUGCAACUGUGAGCUGUGACUCUGUGUGACUCCACCGGUACGAAAUUCCAGGAAAAGCAAAAAUAUGGGACAGAGUAUCCACAAGUGGCAUUCAGGGACUGGAGUGGGAACUGGCAGGGAAAGGGGAAAUGUAUUGAUUAUUUCGAUUGCAGUGGUGGGGAUGAGGGUGGAUACCUGUGCCAAACUCACUUAAAACGGAUGUAUUUCAUUGUAUAAAUUAUGCCUCAAUGAAAUCCAUUCAUAAAAAGAA
rnacentral:lncRNA from 1 species